AUGAAACUGUCCAAAUCUAGUAGUGCCUUUUUAGGAAAUAUGGGGUUGUUGUUUUUUUUUAAUUUUUUUCAUGCUCAUUAUUUUCUUCAAACUUUAUUUCUAUUCUGUAAGUUUUUGGCAAUUUAAAUUUUCCCGGCUAAGCACAGUGGCUCAUGCUUGUAAUCCCAGCACUUCUGGAGGCGGAGGCAGGAAGAUUGCUUGAGCCCAGGAGUUCACAAUCAGCCUGGGCAACAUAGUCGCUACUAAAAAUUAGCUAGGCAUGGUGGUGUGUGCCUGUAGUCCCAGCUACUCAGGAGGCUGAAGCAGUAGGAUCACUUGAGCCCUGGGGGCCGAAGCUGCAGUGAGCCGUGAGCAUGCCUGGGACACAGAGCAAGACCCUUUCUCAAAAAAAAAUUUUUUUUAAUUAAGUGAAUUUUCCUAAAUAGUGAUUCUGUUCUAUUUUCAGAUUUGUUGGCCUGGAGUUGUAGUAUUCUGCUUCCUCAUUCCCAUGUUGCGUGUGCUUUCCCUUUUUGUUCUCAUUGGUUUUUCCAGAAUUACUCUGUUUCAUUGAUCUUUUCAAAUAACCAACUCUGAGAUUUAUAUCUUAAUUUUACUGUUUUACUAUUUCAUGAUUCUUUUCGUUUUGUUCUUAAUUUUUUCCUUUAUUAUUUUCCCACCUUCUUAAGUUACAUGCCAUUUUAACUUUUUCUUACUUAAUAAAAGACAGUUACUAACAUUGUAAGGUACGACUUUUCCUCUAAAUACAUCUUUAUCCAUAUCUCUUAAAUUUAUAUUUAGUGUUCUAAGUUAUAAAUAAUUUAUAAUUUCAGAUUUGACUUUAUUUUUUACUGGAGUUUUUUGAAAUUAUACUUUUAAAUUUCCAGG
rnacentral:lncRNA from 1 species